UUAACAGCUAUUGUAAUGGUUUCCAUAUAAUAUAUCAAGAGUUGCCAUGCGACAGGUAGCCUCGCCGUUGGCCAAUAAAGGCUUGUUUGAAUCCCAGAGCUCACUCCGUGAAAUCUGAUGUGCCCUUGAGCAACGCCCUUAAUCCUAAUUGACCCUGUAGGUCAUUCUAGAUGAGUCUGCUAAAUUAUUUUACUGUCAACUUCAGGAGGCCUUUAUACUCAUGUAAAAUGUUUCUAGGACAGGCGGUGGUUCUGGAGUGAUGGCUCCGACUUUGAUCACCAGAACUGGGCUAAAGGAAGGCCUGGUGCUGGUGCCAGAGAGUCUUGUGUUCAUAUCAACUUUGGAGGUCAACAGCGCUGGGACAAUGCAUUAUGUGAAAGGAGCUUGCCCUCUGUGUGCUCCCUGAGGCUCCUGCCGCUUCGCCAGAGUAUCCAUUAAAAGCAGCAAUGCUA